rnacentral:rRNA from 1 species
UACGAAGGGGGCUAGCGUUGUUCGGAUUUACUGGGCGUAAAGCGCACGUAGGCGGUUCGAUCAGUCAGGGGUGAAAUCCCAGAGCUCAACUCUGGAAUUGCCUUUGAUACUGUCGAUCUGGAGUAUGGAAGAGGUGAGUGGAAUUCCGAGUGUAGAGGUGAAAUUCGUAGAUAUUCGGAGGAACACCAGUGGCGAAGGCGGCUCGCUGGACUGAUACUGACGCUGAGGUGCGAAAGCGUGGGGAGCAAACAGG